GGCGGUGCUCAGUGACGAGAGCAUUCACGUGGGAGUCCCGAAGACCCGGGGCCAUCCCCAUCUGAUGCUCUGUGCGUGGGUGAUACCUGGCUCAUCCGUGAAAUGGGGGCAAUAAUGAUUGUGCCUCCCAUCCCCGAGGCUGGGGGGAGGGUCGGCACAUCUGAAAGGAGGGGAGGCCUGUUAGUUAUCAUGAUGCUACUGCAUGGCUUGCAUGACCACAGCCCUUUGAGGCUUCCCAGCUUUUUCUUCGCAGCAAUCCUCUGAGGUAGGUAGUGCAUGAUCACCCCAGCUAGAGCGGCAGUGAAUGAAGAAAGAGGACAUUCAGUAGCGGCAAAUGGAAAGCCAUCCACCAUGGGAGUUGGUGAUUAGUAAUCGAUAAUUUGGGUAUUGAACAUCAGCUUUAUGAGUAUAAGAUGGUGAGGUAGCGAUUUGUCUGUAAAAUGAUCUGGGGGUCCUAGUGGACUGCAAGCUCAAUAUGGGUCAAUAAUUGGACUUCUAAAAAGGAGGGAGGUGUUUCGGCUAAAGGGAGGUCACAGCCCCCCUGUACCGUGGCCUUGCCAGACCUCGGUUAGGGUACUUUAUUCAGUUCUGGGCCUCCUGGUUAAAGAAGGACAACCAGGGCUUUGGUAAAGGGCUGUAUUCAUGCUCCAUGUGGAGGAGUUGAUAGAACUGAGCCUGGGUUGCCUGGAGAGCCGUCUGAAGAGGGACACUAGAGCAGCCAGGCAACAAGGGUUUGAGGCGGAUCACGUGGCCUCAUGCCCUUGUGGCGGGUCAUGUGGCCUCAUCCCCUCGUGGAGGGUCACGUGGCCUCAUGCCCCGAUGGAGGCAUGGUUGUGUGAGAUGCUGCUGGAGGUCCCCCACGCCCCAGAGAGUGGGAGCAGCCUCUUUCGGCUGGCUACAGAGCCAAGGGAGUCGGGGGCGCACACGAGGCAGCGCUCUUCUUUCUUCUUGGCCGUGUCCUGGACCGAAGGGCAGCUGAACCUGAAUGAUGGUCCGCGUGCCCUGAGGUGUGGGAGGGGAAGGCCCAUUUCCAGCCCUCCCCGUCCCCCUUCUGGCCUGGGCUUGGGUGCCGGCUGCCUUGCUUGUCCUUGGAUCUGGGGGGUGGGGGGGGGACUGAUGCCAUAUAGGAACUAUAUGAGGAAUAUCGGAGACUGUGAUGGGGGGAUCUUGCCCAAGAUGUUCAGGGGCUCUCGGUCUGCUCUUUCUUGCUUGGCCUUUGAAGUACAUAUUCCUCUGGGGUUAAGUAGAACUGAGGUGCCAGGAAGCCCCAACUGGGGGACCCAAUCCGUGAGGCCUGAGCUGCUGCCCCGGAGCCUGGAUGCCCCAGAGAAGCCAGAGGGAGGCUGAAAUGGACCCAUUUCAAGUAGUGGGACCUGAGGAGCACCUAGUACACAUGUAUGAAGCGCCUGCUCUGAGCCAGGCACUGGAGAUACGGGAAAGGGAACAAGCUGACGCUUCCUCCAAGGUGCUUCCAGUCUAAUUGGGGAGAAAAGAUGCGAACAGCUCCGAGCAGCCCAUCCGGAGAUAAGGGAGGCAGGAAGGCUAACUGGCCGGCCUGGAUUUUGGAAGGGGGUCAAGGAGAGAAGAGAAGGGCUUCCUUUUGUUGGGCUACAGUUAGGAGUCUCUUGUUGUUCAGUCCUGUUUCACAUUAAAUAGGCCUUUGGGGUUCCCACGGGACCGAAGGAGUUCUUUUAGUAAAACAACUUGCAUGGAAAGCUAUGAUCCGAGUUCCGAAGUCUGUUUACACACUGGCUUUUGGAGCACAGCCUGCGUCUGACCGGGAGGUGUCUACGUGACAGGUACAUGACAGGGGCUCUAUUGGCCUUGGAUCUCUCCGUUUAUUAGUGGGGCCGGUUUGGAGAUGGGGUCUCUGGAGGCAGAGAGAAAGGUCUUCAGGCCUUGCUGCCUGAUUUCAGGAAGAUGCCAUCUCAGGGAGCUGCAUCGUUUCCCCUUACCUGGAUCGGAAGCCAUCUCAAGAUGCCCAGUUAGACAAGGUUUGGAAAGGGGAUCUGCGUUCCCUCGGGGGAGCUGGAGAUCAUCCCAGAAUAUCUCUGAGCUAUGCAAUUUGAGAAACAUUUAUAUGCAACAUACAAGCUCCUGGACCAGAUGCUGGGGCCCCAGGGAUGACAUUCUACUCGGGAUAAAUACCAAGGACUCAUCAGCAUGGCAACCAUCUUGUCGAGAGCAUGAGUCAUAUGCUGCAAGUGUGAAAAGGGAUUUAUCUGCCAUAGUACUGUAAAGUCAGUUACAAUCUGUUCUCCGGCUCCAGCAAAUAUCGAGGCAAGAUCCCCAGAAACAUCUCGAGCUCUGAGAUCCCUGGGUUUUAACAAGAUCGGAAUGGGUUCCCAUGCAUGCUGGCUCCCACAGACUUCUCCCAAUAUUCAGACAACUAGGAUUGCCGGCUGCCCCAGUCUCAGAAGGAUACUUUUUGACAUCCAUUAACAGCUUGAUGCUAAGCAGAUUAGAGACAGACAUGGACUGCUUCUUUGUUUUGUCAUGGAGAGUCGUGGAGAGCAGAGGAGUCAGUUCCAACCUCCUUCAAAGCACAGCUCACUGCCAACUCCCUCAUGAGGCCAUUUUUGAUCCUUCUCCACCCCCGAGCUAUUAGAGCUCACUCUCUCUGGAAAUCACUUUCUUUUCAGAGACAAAGUAGAUGCCUGACUAACCCAAUCAUGGGACGGGAAUGCAAUGGACCUUUAGUGUGCAGUGAGAAAUGCCACAUGUGAGCAAUGCAGAGAUUUGAGAAGCGUAGAAAGAGUUAUCUGAACUGAACCAAAAAGGAACAAGCAGAAUCCAGUAAACAAUGCACAGAAUAACUGCAGUGAUGGCAACUGAACCAACAACACUAAACAAGUGAAAGGAAAAGGAAAUUCAGGAUUCUGCUGAUCAAUGCAGCCUCCAAAAAGAGGGAUGAGAAAACAGCAAUUCCUGCUCCUCAGCAAAGGCAGGGAACCCAUGGGGUGUGCUGCUCAGAACAUCAGAUUUUUUUUUCAAUAUGGUGGUUCACCUUGAGGAACUUUUUUUCUUCCUUUUUAUCCUAUGGGAUGACUCUCAGGGACUGGGUUAACGAAAGGAUGUAGUGGGAAAUAUGGGUGAUGUGAAAACAAAAGAUAUCAAUAAAAAGUUAUUUUAAGAAUUUAUUUAUUUCACUUUGUAUUAUCCUAAUUGUACAUUUUACCCCCACAUUUUAUAAGGUUGUUGGGGGCAAAUAUUGCUUUGUUUUUCUCUCUAUAUUGCCAAGAAAAGUGGCAAAAUAGAGCAGAUCUUUGGGCCGUUUUACUUGGAUUGAAUCUCAUAGGAUCAUAGAGUUAGAGUUGGGAAGGUGAUGUCUGGGGCCAUUUAGUCUAACUCUCUCCUUUAUAGAUGAGGAAACUGAGACCAAGAAAAGUUAAUUGAUUCAACCUAAGCCAGACAGUGCUUUUCCUGCCCUCUGCCCAUGGCAAAAUUCUUAUGUACCCUCUAAUGAUAAUAACAACAAGAAUAGUUGGGAUUUAUAUACACUUGAAGUUGUCAAAGUGCCCUACAUAGAUUGUCUCAUUACAACAGGCAACUAUGCACAUGGCAUCUUCUGUGAGGUGAUGCUGUUAUUGUCUCUAUUUUAUAAAUAAGAAAGCUGAGGCAUGGAGAGAUGAUGUGGUUUGGGCAAAGUUACACAGCCAAUAACUCCCCAAGAUAGUCUUUAGUCUGAGGUCCUCCAGCUUCCAAAUUCUGGGUUCUAUCCUUUGCACCACCUGGCCACCUACAAGUUUAGCUUUCAGAAUGUCAAGGAUUCUGUGUAGGAGAGACCUCCAACUCCUCUCCCUGACUGAAGCACACAGGGUAGCCCAGCUCCCUAAGAAAAAUGACACAACCCUUUAUUCCUUUGUUUGGGAGAACAUCCCUUCUGGAAUAGAAACAAAGACUGAGUUCCAAGCAGGAGUGACACAAGGUUAGAGCUACUGAUUUAAAAAACCAUUUGAUUCUGAGGUCUUGAUGUAGCCCAAUGUAUUUAAAAUGGUUGAGGAGAGGCUGGCAAAUUGUUUCAGAAUGAGCCUCAUCAUUCAGUUAAAAUAAAUUCAGUCAAUUCAACAAGCCUUUAUUAAGUGUCUACUAAUAAACCAUCUCAGGCUGUUCUUGUGGAAAAGAUGGAGAGAUGUGGGCCUGAACCAGAGGAUAAUGGAAUGGAUGCCAACCAGUUAGAUGACUGGACUCGGAAUUAUGGCAUGUUGCCUUGGGAGGAGGUCUCUGGGGGGAUGCCCUGAGGAUUUGGGGCUUGGGCAUGAGCUGGCUUGUUGGUGUUGGUGUUAAUGUUUAAGUGAUGUGUUUUGUUUUUAAAUUAUAAACAUUUCUAGAUCACUCCUACUUUUCAUGAGGUCUCUUGUGACAAAGUAAAAUACUUAAGUCCGAUGAAUAAUUCAGUGACCUCAACUGAAUGCUCGUACUACAUUUCAAAGUCUGUAAUACCCCCUCUCAAUUAAAAAAAAAAGUAACUGCAAUGGGUUUUCCAUUCCUCCCUUCUCUAACCCUGUUGGGAAAAAGAAUACAAACCCAGUUUCUUAUAACAGAUGUGCAUACUCAAGCAAAACAAAUUCCCUCAAUGGAGGUAUUAAAAAUGUAUAUGUCUCACGCUGCACCCUAAAUCUGUCACUUCUCUAAUGGAUAGCGUAUUUCAUCAAGAUGCUGAGAAGGUAAAGUCAACAGGCCUUGGGGAUAGAUCGCAUAUGUGGGGGAGUGGGGGUGAGAGAGAGCAAAGGGUCCACCAUGACGUCCAGGUUGUGAGCCUCAGUAGGGCAAGGUUGGAGAUCUCAUUCCUUCAGUGUGGAGAUGUCCCGUUGAAGAUGUCUAUGGCGUUCCAGUUGGAGAUGUCUGAAAGACAGUGAGAGGUGCUAGAUUGGACGUCCGCCAAGAGGGUAGAUCUGACAAUCAUAAUUGAAUCUACCAGAGCAGAGAUCACCCAUAAUAACAGAGAGAAAAGAGAAGAGGACUCAGGACAGAUCCUUGUGGGAUGCUCGCCUUUAGGGACUUGAUUCAGGUGAAGACCCAGCACAGGAGACUGAGGAGUAGUCAUCUAGGUAGGGGGGAAAUCAGGGACAGUCUUGUGCUGAAAACCUCAGGAGAGUAGAGGAUCAAGGAGAGGAUGAUCGACAGUGGCCAAGGCUACAGAGUGGUUGUGAAAGAUGAAGACUGAGAAAAGGGCAAUUAGACUCAGCAAUGAAGAGAUCAUUAGCCACUUUGGAGAAAGAAGAUUUGAUUGAAUAAAGAGGUCAGAGGCUAAACUAGAGAGCUGAGAAGAGAAUGGGGAGAGAGGAAGUGGAGGCCCCUGUUGUAGACAAAGUUUAGCCACAAAAGACAGAAAAAAAUAUAGGUGGGCAAUUAGCAAUAAUGGGUGGAUUGUGUGGGUUUUUAAAAAAUGAUGAGCAUUUUACUCAUUCAUUCAUUUAUUCAUUUAUACAUCUAUUUGUUUAUUAUUUAUAAACUUUUUUUGUAUAAUGCUAAAUUGCUUUCUUAAAACUUGUUUUUAUUUUUAAUUUUAAUUAGUAAUAAAAAUAAUAAAUUUAUUACCAAUUACUUGUAAUAGCAAAUUUCCAUGUAAGUUUUCUGAAGUUAUAUGAUCCAAUUCAUCUUCCUCCCUCCUUCCCUCACCCUUUCUGGAUCUGGUAAGCAAUUCAUUCUGGGUUAUACAUGUAUUAUUUUGAAAAAAACAUUUCUGUAUUGUUCGUUGUUGUAAGGGAAUAAUCUCAUAAAACCAAACCCCGACUGUAGACCUAAUUAAACAAAUGAAAAAUCUCAUGCUUUCAUCUGCAUUCUGAUUCCAAUAAUUCUUUCUCUGGAGGUAGAUAGAGAAUCCUUUGUCAUAAUUUCUUCAGAAUUAAUUGUCCUGGAUUGCUGAUAGUAGCCAAGUCUAUCACAAGUGAUCAUUCCACAAUAUUGCUGUUACUGUGUACAAUGUUCUCCUGGUUCUUCUUAUUGCACUCUGCAUCAGUUCAUGUGGGUCUUCCCAGCUCUUUCUGAAAUCCUCCUGUUCAUCUUUCCUUACAGCACAAUAGCAUUCCAUCACCAUCAUAUACCAUGCCAAAUAGCUUUCUAAAAUGGUCGUACCCAUUUACAGGUCUACCAACAGUGCAUCAAGGUGCCUGUUUUCCUACAGUCUCUUCAACACCUGUCAUUUCCUAUUUUUUGUCAUCUUUGCUAAUUUGAAGAGUGUGGUCUUUGUGACCAUGAUGCUAUUAUUAAUAUUUCUCUAGUAGUGAUUUGGAGCAUUCCCCCCUAUUGCUAUAGCUUGCUUGGGUUUCUUCCUUUGAGAGCUGACUAUUCAUAUCCUUUGAUUAUUUUAUCAAUUGAGGAAUGGCUCUUUUUCCUACAAAUUUGAAUGAGUUCCCAAUUAUGUCUUCAUGUACUAAAUCUUUUUAAUUUUAUGGAAUCAAACUGAUCUAUUUUUUCUACCGUGUUACUUUCUGUUCCUUGUCUGGUUAUUAUCUUUUCUCCAAUCCAUAGAUCUGAUGGGUAUUUUUUUUUCUGUUUCUCUGAUUUAUUUCUGAUGUGACCCUUUAUAUCUGGGUCAUAUAUCUCUUUGGUCCUGUCAGUGACUUAGAGACAUAGAUAGUAUCCUUGUAAAAUGUAUAGAUCAUAGCCAGUCAACAAGCAUUCUAAAUUGCAUACUAUGUGCCAGGCACUGUGUUAAGGGCUUGGGAUACAAAAAAGGCAAAAUACAGUCAUCCAAAGCUGGGAAGAUGAGCAAACACUCUAGGUGACUGAGUGAGUCUCCUGAAAGAUCUUGACAGGCUCAGAAAAUUAGCCUGAAUUGAAUAAAAAUGACAUUUGAUAUGGAUUAAUACAAAGUCUCACACGGGCUUAAAGAAAUAGGCUUUGUAAGCACAAGAGAGGUAAAGCAUGGUUGGACAGCAGAUUAUACAAAGAUGAACUUGUCAGGCAUGCUAUGGCAAGGCUUCCCUUUGGGGACACGGUAGACUGGAGGCUCACUGAGGCCUCUUCCAAUCACAGUGGUCUGUGAUCUGGGGCUUUUUUGGGUGGCAAGAUUAAUGAGUCAAGAGUGUAACCAGGCGUCCCGACUUUUGUCUUGCCAUUGGACUCGGAGGACUAGAAGAAAAGAGUGAGGCUCAUGAUUUUGCCUCACUUAAAUACAAUUCUUGCCCAUGUCAAAGCUUUCACACUGUGAUGUCAUUGGUCCUCUUUGGAAUGAAAGAUGAACAACAAGGGGAGGGGUAUGGAUUGGACCCGAGAUUUCAUGGAUAGAGGAUCAUAUCUUGUAACACUUCCAGUCUUAGAGAAUAGUCUAGGGCACUGAGAAAUUAAGUGACUUGCUCAGGGUCACCCAGUAGGUGUUAGAGGUGAAACUUGAAUACAAGUCAUUCUAACUUUGAAGCUAACUUGAUCAGUUAUGAUAUUCUACCUCUAAGAUCUGGCAGCCAAAAAAGACUAGAGUGACCUUGGUCUAUGUUGGUAGAGGCGGAAGAACUCCCAGGAAGAGGGAGGUGAGAAUCCUUCUGAAGUCUGCCUUUCUAGAUAAACCCUGUUGGCUUGUAGAAUCAGGGCAGUGAUAUGAUAAGGCCAAUGCAUUAAGACAAAUUGCAUUAUGCAAAGGUGCAAAAUUAUUUUUCUAUAGUCCUUUGAUUUUGUUAGAUGUAGAGAGGCAGCCAAGAGGAAAGCCUGAGGUCAAAUCCUGCCUCAGUCACUUAUUGUGACUGUGGGCAAGUCACUGGUCCUAUCUGUUUUCUCAUCUGUAAAAUGGGCAUAAUAAUAGUACCUACAUCCCAGGUCAUUGUGAGGACAAACUGAAAUAAUAUGCCACCCUUCAUAGGCUACAGAAAUGCUGGCAGGCAUUACUAUUGGGGCAUAUAUGGUUCAUGUGUGAAGUUUGUAUAGAAUCAUUCACUAACUCGUGUCUCCCAACAUGUCUGGCUUUGGUCGAUGUACAAUGACAUCUUUUGGCAUUUACACCAGAGAUCUCUGCAAGGAAACUAAAUUAUAGAUAAUAAGGAAACUGGCAGGACCCAGAAUUAGACAAAAUAAUCUAGUGAAACCCAUUCAUAGCAAACGGAUAGAAAGGAAAAAGAAGAUAAUAUGACAAAUGUUUUCAAAUAUGAGCUCCUCACAACCACCCUGGAAAUAAAUGUUGUUGUUAUCUCGAUCUAACAGACAGAAAAUGCUGAGAGAGGUGAGGGACCAUCCAGUGAGGAAGUAUCUGAGGAAAUAUUUGAAUUCAGCUCUUCCUGACUCCAUUGGUAGCCAUCUUUCUACUCUACCACCUGGCAGACAACGCUGGAAUGCGGUCUAUGAUGCUUCCUUUGUCCAGACUUGUUUCUAUCUCUAUAACCAGAUUUGCACAAAGGGAUUGUCCUAAAAUGCAGAUCUGACCAUCUACUAUCCCCUCCUACUCCACAAACCCUGGUGACUCCCUAUUGUGUCCAGAAGCAAAUACAAAAUGCUUUUCAUCAUCCAGCUCCCUCUUUCCUCCCCACUCCUCUCAUACAUCAUUUCCCACCACAUAUUCUUCAAUCCAGGGACACUGGCCUCCUGGCUGUUCCAUGAACAAGAUAUUACACAUCUUGGCUCUGGGAAUUCUCUCUGGUUGUCCUAGGACAGCAUUAGCGAACCUUUUAGAGAUCGAAUGCCCAAGCUGCAACUUCAAGCUACCUGUGAGCCCCCUGCCCCCGCAUUACUCCAGAUAGCAGAGGGAGGAAGUACUCACGUUCAUCUGCUGGGCAGAGGGGUAGGAAAUAUGAAAAAUUUUCUUGGGGGCUAUGGAGAGGGGGAAUGGAGCAGUCCCCUCCAGCAGGUGGGGGCACAUGUGCCAUGUCUUUUCCAACAUGAUCCCAGGGAUGCUGUCUCUCUGAUCCAGCUACAGACUUCCUUGUCUUCCUUUAAAAUUCCACUGGGGCAAU